rnacentral:rRNA from 1 species
CUCAUAUUGAAACCUAGUGAAGUAUGAGUUAGUGGCGGACGGGUGAGUAACGCGUGGAAAACCUGCCGUAUACUGGGGGAUAACACUUAGAAAUAGGUGCUAAUACCGCAUAAGCGCACAGCUUCGCAUGAAGCAGUGUGAAAAACUGAGGUGGUAUACGAUGGUUCCGCGUCUGAUUAGCUAGUUGGUGGGGUAAAAGCCUACCAAGGCAACGAUCAGUAGCCGGCCUGAGAGGGUGAACGGCCACAUUGGGACUGAGACACGGCCCAAACUCCUACGGGAGGCAGCAGUGGGGAAUAUUGCACAAUGGGGGAAACCCUGAUGCAGCGACGCCGCGUGAGUGAAGAAGUAUUUCGGUAUGUAAAGCUCUAUCAGCAGGGAAGAAAUACUGACCAUAGGGUCAGCAGACGGUACUUGACUAAGAAGCCCCGGCUAACUACGUGCCAGCAGCCGCGGUAAUACGUAGGGGGCAAGCGUUAUCCGGAUUUACUGGGUGUAAAGGGAGCGUAGACGGCAGCGCAAGUCUGAAGUGAAAUGCCAGGGCUUAACCCUGGAACUGCUUUGGAAACUGUGCAGCUAGAGUGCAGGAGAGGUAAGUGGAAUUUCUAGUGUAGCGGUGAAAUGCGUAGAUAUUAGGAGGAACACCAGUGGCGAAGGCGGCUUACUGGACUGUAACUGACGUUGAGGCUCGAAAGCGUGGGGAGCAAACAGGAUUAGAUACCCUGGUAGUCCACGCUGUAAACGAUGAUUACUAGGUGUUGGGGGAC